rnacentral:rRNA from 1 species
UACAGAGGGGGCAAGCGUUGUUCGGAAUUACUGGGCGUAAAGCGUGCGCAGGCGGUGAUGUAAGACAGGUGUGAAAUCCCCGGGCUUAACCUGGGAACUGCAUUUGUGACUGCAUCGCUGGAGUGCGGCAGAGGGGGAUGGAAUUCCGCGUGUAGCAGUGAAAUGCGUAGAUAUGCGGAGGAACACCGAUGGCGAAGGCAAUCCCCUGGGCCUGCACUGACGCUCAUGCACGAAAGCGUGGGGAGCAAACAGG